rnacentral:rRNA from 1 species
UACGAAGGGGGCUAGCGUUGCUCGGAAUCACUGGGCGUAAAGGGCGCGUAGGCGGCCGAUCAAGUCAGGGGUGAAAGCCUGUGGCUCAACCACAGAAUUGCCUUUGAUACUGUUUGGCUCGAGACCGGAAGAGGUUGGUGGAACUGCGAGUGUAGAGGUGAAAUUCGUAGAUAUUCGCAAGAACACCAGUGGCGAAGGCGGCCAACUGGUCCGGUUCUGACGCUGAGGCGCGAAAGCGUGGGUAGCAAACGGG